UGCAAGUAGAACGCUGAAGAGAGGAGCUUGCUCUUCUUGGAUGAGUUGCGAACGGGUGAGUAACGCGUAGGUAACCUGCCUUGUAGCGGGGGAUAACUAUUGGAAACGAUAGCUAAUACCGCAUAACAAUGGAUGACACAUGUCAUUUAUUUGAAAGGGGCAAUUGCUCCACUACAAGAUGGACCUGCGUUGUAUUAGCUAGUAGGUGAGGUAACGGCUCACCUAGGCGACGAUACAUAGCCGACCUGAGAGGGUGAUCGGCCACACUGGGACUGAGACACGGCCCAGACUCCUACGGGAGGCAGCAGUAGGGAAUCUUCGGCAAUGGGGGCAACGCUGACCGAGCAACGCCGCGUGAGUGAAGAAGGUUUUCGGAUCGUAAAGCUCUGUUGUAAGUCAAGAACGAGUGUGAGAGUGGAAAGUUCACACUGUGACGGUAGCUUACCAGAAAGGGACGGCUAACUACGUGCCAGCAGCCGCGGUAAUACGUAGGUCCCGAGCGUUGUCCGGAUUUAUUGGGCGUAAAGCGAGCGCAGGCGGUUUGAUAAGUCUGAAGUUAAAGGCUGUGGCUCAACCAUAGUUCGCUUUGGAAACUGUCAAACUUGAGUGCAGAAGGGGAGAGUGGAAUUCCAUGUGUAGCGGUGAAAUGCGUAGAUAUAUGGAGGAACACCGGUGGCGAAAGCGGCUCUCUGGUCUGUAACUGACGCUGAGGCUCGAA
rnacentral:rRNA from 1 species